GACGGGAUCUCCGACUUCAAUGUUCCCCUUCCUCGUCUUUUUCUCUUCUCCACUCCUCCCCCCUUAUAUGUUCAACUCUGGCAGUUCCCGAAUUAGCCGUCUCAAAGUGAAGCUCGUUGGAUAGAGAUCCGUCUUCUCCUCUUCCUUGCCUAUUGUCAUUUCCUGCCCUUGAAGCAAGGUUUCGAUUGCUAUAAAUUGCAAUUAUAUAUACUCUUAAAACAGAGGAAUCACAACAAAAAAAAUGAAUCAUCGCCGAAAAAGAAUCCUAUAACUAACUCCACCGUUGUCUUUGUCAUCGUUUCCUCCGUAUGUUUUUCUUCCGGCUGCGUCUCUGGCUUGGGGGUAAACUGAGGAACAAUGGCGACUCAUCAGUUACCACCAAAAACGGUAGUGGAGAUGCUUAGAGACAACAACAUACAGAAGGUGAAGCUGUUCGAUGCUGACACGAACACGAUGGGAGCUCUCGCUGGCUCCGGCGUCGAAGUUAUGGUGGCGAUCCCUAAUGAUCUUCUCAAAGCCAUGGGAAACUUUCAAAGAGCUAAAGAUUGGGUCCAUCGAAACUCUCUCGAUUCAACUUUAACAACGGCGUUAAGAUCAAGUUUUGAUUGCUAUAAAUUGCAAUUGUAUAUACGCUUUGAUCCACAUUGAGAACGAGAUGUGGAAUUCAGAGAACCUUCUAAUGUCCAGAGACAAUGCUUUGGCCAAAUGUUAUAACGAGAACAGUUUUUAAAGAAAGGCUAAAUGAAGGCUGAAGAGAGGAAAGAUACCGAGAGGGCCCAGCUUAAAACCACCGAUAAUGAUCAUCUGGUAUGAACUUCUUCUCUUCACUCUUUGUUUUAAUGGAGACUCUAUUUGUUUGUUUAUAUAGCUUUGACGGACAGCAUAGGUGGGAGAGAAAAGACAACAUGUUUGCUUUACACAACACCCAAAACCAACAGACAACAUGCAUCACAAGAAAAAAUGUAUCCUUUCAAACAAUAAUGUAUUUAUACUCAAAAUAAGUAGACAACAUAAUUAUAUUCAUUAAUAAUGAAACACAGACCCCAACCAAAUAAUCAACUAAACCGGGGACCUAAGCAACAGGAUAGGAAACGAUGUCAAACAGUGCAAGACAAAGGUAAAUGAAGAUCAACAAAGGCAGGGAAUAAAAAACUCCACAAAAGUAUCCUUAACAUGGGGCACAGCCAAAGUAUCCUUAUACUCAAUUUAUUUUCAUAUUCACACAUCACUUUCACAUUUAUUUCCGUUUCCAUAUUGACACUUCACUUUAUAUAAUCUAUACAUAUACCAGUGUAUUGUUUUCCUUGUGGGGGUACACUCCAACUAGAUAUGCCACUAGAUGGAGGAUACAUUACUACAUAAUCGUUUGCCAUUACUUGAGCUCCAAAUUGAGAAAGAGAUGAGAAUGCAGAGAAAUCCAGCCUCAACUAAACUGUCUUCCCAAGGUUUAUUAUAUGAUUUCUCCAACUAUAAAUUCAUUACGCAAUAGAUGUAACUCUAUUUUGUACGCAAGUCAUUAAUGUGUAAACCACAACGAAGGUAUUUUCCGGCAUAUUAUAGUGGAUUUUGAGAGGUCAAUCUCUCUUCAGA